UACGUAGGGUGCAGGCGUUAAUCGGAAUUACUGGGCGUAAAGCGUGCGUAGACGGUUACAUAAGUCAGGUGUGAAAGCCCCGGGCUCAACCUGGGAAUUGCAUUUGAGACUGUGUAGCUAGGGUGCGGAAGAGGGAAGCGGAAUUUCAGGUGUAGCGGUGAAAUGCGCAGAUAUCAGGAGGAACACCGGCGGCGAAGGCGGGUCUCUGGGCCGUAACUGACGCUGAGGAGCGAAAGCGUGGGGAGCGAACAGG
rnacentral:rRNA from 1 species